rnacentral:rRNA from 1 species
CCCAGACUCCUACGGGAGGCAGCAGUGGGGGAUAUUGCACAAUGGGGGGAACCCUGAUGCAGCGACGCCGCGUGGGUGAAGGAGCGUUUCGGCGCGUAAAGCCCUAUCGGCAGGGAAGAAGAUGACGGUACCUGACCAAGAAGCCCCGGCUAACUACGUGCCAGCAGCCGCGGUAAUACGUAGGGGGCAAGCGUUAUCCGGAUUUACUGGGUGUAAAGGGGGCGCAGACGGCGAUGCAAGCCAGGAGUGAAAGCCCGGGGCCCAACCCCGGGACUGCUCUUGGAACUGCGUGGCUGGAGUGCAGGAGGGGCAGGCGGAAUUCCUGGUGUAGCGGUGAAAUGCGUAGAUAUUAGGAGGAACACCAGUGGCGAAGGCGGCUUACUGGACGGCAACUGACGCUGAGGCUCGAAAGCGUGGGGAGCAAACAGGAUUAGAUACCCGCGUAGC